rnacentral:rRNA from 1 species
GACGAAGGGGGCUAGCGUUAUUCGGAAUUACUGGGCGUAAAGCGCGUGUAGGCGGUUGUUCAAGUCAGGUGUGAAAGCCUUGAGCUCAACUCAAGAAAUGCACUUGAUACUGGAUGACUAGAGGACCGGAGAGGAUAGUGGAAUUCCAGUGUAGUGGUGAAAUACGUAGAGAUUGGGAAGAACACCAGUGGCGAAGGCGGCUAUCUG